rnacentral:ncRNA from 1 species
UUCUUCGGGGCGGGGUGAAAUUCCCCACCGGCGGUACAGCCCGCGAAGGAGAAGGAACGCCGUUCCGUUCUCCCCGAUUCGGUGAAAUUCCGAAGCCGACGGUAAGGCGCAGCGCGCCAAGUCCGGAUGAUAGAAGA